UUAUUAUUAAAAAACUACGAAUAAUCAUCUUGAAAUUAUAGAAUUUAAAUAGAAUUAAAAAUUAAACACACGUAUAAUUUUUAUUUAUUUUUUCUAUCUACGUAUCACGAAUAAAAGAAACAACUAAAUAAAAAGACAAUUGCUCUAUCUGUAGGUAUAUGUAAGAAAUUAACCAAUCACCGUAGAUAUUAGAAAAAAGUUGUAGGACUCUCUAUAAAAAGAAUAACCUGUGGCGUUCAAUCUUAAUGCAAUCACAGAUAAUAUGUUACUUGUAUAAUUGUUUGUAAUCUUCUAUAGAGGUUAAUAUACACAGAAAAUUGUAUUAAUCCUUUCGUUAUGUCAGUGAAACAGCUGCCAUUAUACGGGGUGUCAAAACGCGAACGUGCACUUCACAAAUGAGAACAUAUUCGUGUUUUUUAUCACGAACCGAACGUAUAUUUCACCGCUGACAGGUCACGUCAUAUAAAUUAUUGGUUUCUUAUUCAAGUUGCAUCGAACUAUGUAAUAUAACCAAAGUUAUAAAUCAAUACGAAAUUUUAAUGGAUGACUCACUGAAAAUCACCGAUAAUAUUACAUGGACGGAUGCAUCGUGUGUUUCGAAUUUUGUUUCGGUAACCUUUCGACGACAUCUUCCUCGACGUCUCUCGAAAUUUGAUUCCACUUAUCGUUAUUUUCUGUAUCGUCGUUCUCAUGAACGGAAUCUUUCCUAUAACAUGUAAUAGAAUAUACACUAAUAUAAAUAGGAUAUAUAAACGAUAGAAAAUUAGUGUUAUUUUGAUUAAUCGAUUCGAUUGUUAACUAACGUGUACUUAUUAAUAGAGGGCAGGAACAACGAUUUAGGACAAUCUUUGAAAUACGGCCAACACUCCCCGUGUAAUUUCCCUCUAUUUUCAGCUUCCACGUAUUCGUUGAGAAUAUUUGCAAAUGGCGACUUGCUAGCCCUAAAAAAUGAAAAACGUUAGAUAGAAAAAAAGUCAAUCGAUAGAUAGAAAAGCGAUCUUACGUGAGAAAUAGUUUCAACAUUUCGCCGAUCAGGCCGAAAUUGUUGAGAGGAUGACCAUGAACUUCACAGAUCGCUCGCAAUAAGCAAGCUUUUCCAUUUAAACCCAAAGUGCUUAACAUAUCCUCGGCUGUGCCGUAAAGAAGAGCUCUUUCACCACCGUGAAACGCAUCUUUUGGAAUUUCUAUGGUGUCCCUUUUGUGAAGUCUUCGUUUUAUGAAGGCAGCUAUGAAAUCUGCCAUAAUCAUGCCAGCUUUUCGACCGCGGGCACUUCUAUCGAAUGCCGAUGGCAAAGCACCAUAAGGAUUUUCAUUAUCUGUUAGGCCUAAUUUAUCGAAGUCGACUGUAAAAAAGGGAAAUGUAAUCAUUCUAGCAUAUGUACAUGUCAUAUGAGCCGUUCAUUUGUCAAAGUGAUAUAUUUCAUAAAACAAAAAAUCGAAUAAAUUUAUAUACACUGUUUUUUAAAAAUUUCUUAUAAAAUAUACAUCGUAGAAUGUAUGUAGCUUUCGUGUAACAUCUGUAAUGCAUAAAAUUAUCAUUAAUUUUAAGUUAAUAAUAAUUAAAAAUUAAGUAAUAAAUUAUUUAUUAAUCAACUUAUUUAUUAGUCACCGAUACAAAGCUCUUGUCAUUUAGUAAUGUCGAAUGUGAUUAUCAAUUUAAAUAUAUAUAAAAAAUUAAGUACCGAUCAAGUGCUUCGGUAGUAAAAUUUUCAAAAGUUCAAAAAAUAGAAUUAAUUGCUUUGACCUGUGAACGGUUCAUGUCAUGAUCGUUAAAAAGUUUUACUCACUCGUAAAAGGAAGACUAAUAGUCAUAUUGCUCAAAAAGCCGUAAGGUGGAUAUCUAACGAAGGGUAGUGCCAAUGUAGGUGUAAUCGUCAUUACCGUGCCAGGUGGUAAAGCUAUGCGACCGUCGUUCGUUAUCCAAAGGACUCUUUUUUGUCGAUGAUGAUUGCCAUCGCCGUACUCGUUUCCAGAACUGGAAUACGAUCGUUUUAAAACGAGUAGACCGAGCAAUAGUACAAGAGUCUUCCUCGUCAUAUCGACCCUUUGCCAAAUUCUGUAAUAGAAACUUUUCUUCUUAAUUUUAAUUUUAAUAUCAUUCUCGAUUUUACGAAGAGCAUGCUGAAUAUAAAUCGUGAUUUAGAACUUCGAAAAAUAGUUACAUUUGAUUACGAUAAAUAAACAAAUGUAUUCAUUCAUUCAAAUGGAAAGAAAGCGGGUUGAAUGAAGAGACGCUUAAAGUGACUACGCGUUACGAGAGAGACAUUCAUUACUUUUACAGCUAAAAUGCAUACUCACGUUUAACGUUUAAAUUACAAUCACGAUUUAUAACACGACUUACGAAUUCGAUCAGUUCGUAUCUAAAGAAGCAUUCGUUAUUUGCGUUUCUGAACGUUACAAUAAAUCGAUUGUUAUAACGUGACGAGAAUUAUAAUGCUUUCAUUUGUAAUACUUUCGAAUUUUUUCCUCUACUUAUAAAUUAGAUGAAAUCUUGAAAAAAGAAAAAAAAAAAAGAAAAACAAGGAACGAGAAUGAUGAAUAGUGAAGUUAAAAGUAUUCUUGUUUUUAAAUAUGUUUCCUUUUUAUUUUUCUUUAAUUACCUAAUUCUAAGCUAUCUCUGACGUAUGACGAUGUGUUUAUGAAAUUAAUCAAUAAAUGUCUAACGUUUGAUGGUUCCAAGAAAACAAUAAUCGUCAUGAUUGAUCUACGAGCGUGUUUUUUUGUCACUCUUAGUACUGUAAGCGUACCUUACGAGUAUAACUAGUCGAGCGAGUGACCAGUUUGCGGACGCAAAGUCGCUUCGAUGUAACAGUAUGUAAUAGCCUGCGAAAUCAUAGCCGAGAGUGACCAGGCCAGUGGGAUUCGCCCUAGAAAGAAGUCCAGGUGUACUUUAUGCCCGGAAAAAUUUGUUCGUGCUGUAAAAGCUUAACGUUACAUGUUUACAAUAUAUGGAUAUCACAUCAAUGUAUCCAUUAACAGAUUAAUCGUUUCGAAAGUGAUCGGUGACCGAUAAUCGAGUAUCGACAAUAGUAACUUUCAUUGGAGUUGUUUACUACGUUUCUUUAGAUUAUAAAAAUUCUUGACAAUUAUUCAUUAUUAUUAUUCAAUCAUCAUCAUUAUUAUUUGCUUAAUAUAUAAUUUAUAUAAAAAUCGUUAACGUUGCUAAGAUUUUCGAUGAUUAAGUUAAUAUAUUAUGACCGCCAUAAUGAUUAUCAGGGAGGGACGAACAAAUAAAUAUAUUGUUAUAUUUUGGUGCAAUCCAAUAUUAUCAUUCAAUUCAGUAUUCUAUUGUUCUCUUUAAUACGUGGUACGGCGUGGGUAGAAAAUUUGUUAAAAUACGCUUGACGAUGAAUGUGUUCUGUUCUCAUUUGGUGUCAACCUAGGGGAAACCCUUUACUCGUACGAAGACGCUGCGUGCGAAGACGACGUGACCGUCGAUAUAACGGCCAUCACCGAACUCGGCGAGAAAGACCGCGAGGAAAAAGUAAGAGGAGGAUAAGGAGGAGGAGUAAGAGGAGGAAGUAGUGAAGAGUCGAACGAGCACCGCAAGAAUACAAAUUCCAACGACCUGCAUAUUUCGACGUAUCUUCUUGAAUUGGGCCGGUACUAAACGAAUCGAACGACUUUGCAAUUAAGUAUUCGUGAAUCGAUGCUUAUUUUUGGCUGGACACCGUUAAGUCUUGAUUCUUGAAUAUAAAACCGGGUCAAAUACAGUUUUUUAUUUUCUUUUUCUUUUGCGUUAGCACUAUCAUCGUUCUUUCCUUUUUGUCUACGUGGCUAAAUUUACGUAUUACUAAAUUAUUUCCAAAUCUAAUAUUUCUCGUUUUUUUUUUUUAGAUAUAACAUUUAUAGGCAGGCAUGUAUCUGUAGAUCGAGUUAUUUCGUUAUGGGGUUUCGCUAUGGCAUAAUCUGUGCCUCGAAUUUAGCGCUGAUGCGCCGUAAUAGCGCACAUGAAUAAUACUACUAUGCGAUAUGAUGGUAUAUAAUUACGGUUGCGAUGGUAUGAUGAUUCAAACCGCGGGUGAAAGAUAUCUACCAGUACACGAAUUUAAGUCAAGUUAAUAGAUUUAAGAACGGUUUGAUUUAUAUCUGGAGAAGGAAAAAGAAAAAGGAUGGAAAAGAUACAAAAGGGCUACAGCCGCAGUUAUAAUGAAAUGAAAUAUUUUUAAAUGGAUGUUAAAGUUCUGUUUUCUUUUUUAUUUUUUUUUCCUGUUACGAUCGAUAACGGUAUUUGUUCGAGCCACUCGAAUAUCGGUACCCGAUCCAAAUAUCACGAGGACAGCCUGUUUGUUUUACGAUCGAAGGUGAAUCGAAGCCAAAAGAAACGUUGAAAAUUUCCUCCGAAGUUGCAGUGUAAUAAAAAAGAAAAAAAAAAAAAA